ACAUACGCAACGCAACAAGAAGGAAUCUUUCAGCAUUCUUUUCGUAGGCACUUCAUCUUCGUGCAAUUGUUCUAUACCUGUCUUUUGUUUAAGGCAAGUGGUGGAUUCAUGCAUUGAGCAAGCUAACUCUUGGACAACAUAUUUUAUCCCCACAAACUGGCACCAUCUUGCAUUGCCAGUUAUUGGGCAUCUUAACCAGGAGUUCAUUGGAUCCCUCCUCUGUCGACCCUCUGUUCUAACCUCAAAUCUGUUGCUGCCUUCGACAGCACAAUGAACUCUAUACAGAUACAGUGAACCAAACAGGAACAAGAAGCAUGCAUGUAUUUGCACAGUGAUUCACUGCACAGUUCCGAAUUGUCGAUCCCGACAUAUACGAAGACAUCUUGCAUAAUAUGAGAGAUGACAACUAGAACCAGGCCAAAACAGAACUUGCUAGGAAGCUAGUAGCAAAGUGCACGCAGAGCUACCAGCCAUGUCAAUGGCUACUGGCUACUAGCUUUUGCCAUGAUGGAGUUGCAUUGCAAGUACCUGUGCCACACUGGUGUGCAUGUGACCAUGCGUCUGCCCAUGCAUCUCUGCGUCACUACAAGGAAAUCGAUUGGGGAAGACGACGAUCUGUGAUUAGUUUAGCAGGUGGUCAUCAGGCGGCUGUCACAUGGGAGCCAGGGGGUGUCCUCUGUUGAAUGUUUGAUCGCGUGCAUCAGCAAUCAGCGCGGCGCCAUCCAUGAUUGCCUACGAAAGAUCCAUGGCGUUUCCAACUUUCUUCACCCAUUUUUGCUUUUCAUCAACUAGCUUAGGGCCACAUUGUUAUCAGCCAGAUUGAUUCAGAAAAAAGGAACCAUAUUUUAAGACCAUGCGAACUUUAGGUUUUUGUUGAACUUUUCUUAUCUGCCGAGAAGAGAAAUGGUGAAAGAUCCUUUCCAAUUGUCCCUUCAAGCUUCAUGCAAAUCUAU